rnacentral:lncRNA from 1 species
CUAGGCUUAGCUGAGUGGUUUCUUUGGUCUCAGAUGGGUUCUAUCAUGUGACUGUGGUCAGCUUGAGCCAGCUGUGUUUUUGCUGAUAUUGGCUGGACUUUCUAACACAUUUCAGGCCUUGCCUAGACAAAUGACUGGACACAUCUCUGGUUCACAUUGUCUGUCAUCUUCCAUCAGGGGAACAUGAGCAAUUAUCAUUCAAGCAAAGCCAUCUUUAUUGCAAAGAAUGGAGACCUCUGUAAUAUAGCACAGGAAUAAUGAAUGCAUCUGGUCUGUGUGGCAGAGGGGCUGUGACUGAAAGCACACCAUCAGGCAAUGCUGUAGAAGCGGGAAUCUGAUACAACCUGGUUUAAUGAGAACUGGAGAUCAUGAUCUCCUGGACAGCCAGAACUAUGUUUUAUUUAUCUGUUUGUGGCCAGUUUCCAGCCCUGGGCCUGGCCUUGAGCAAGCCCUUGAGUUGAAAUGAUUUAAAUCAGAGAUGGCACAGAUAAUAAAAACAGGAAUGGAUAUGGAGAUAGAGGAUGAGAAUUUGGGUAUUAACUUGGUUAUUUACUAAUUGGAGGGAUUGAGGUAAGUUGCUUCAUUCUGAGUCUCACUUCUCAAAUUUGUACAGUGAUGAAGUUUGGGAUUGGAGUAUAUGUGGAGAGGAACCUCCAAAACCUUUACCGUGCUUCAACAUUCUAACUUAAGCUUAAACGAAAAAUUGAAUUUUUACCUG